AGGGCACCACCAGGAGUGGAGCCUGCGGCUUAAUUUGACUCAACACGGGGAAACUCACCAGGUCCAGACACAAUAAGGAUUGACAGAUUGAGAGCUCUUUCAUGAUUUUGUGGGUGGUGGUGCAUGGCCGUUCUUAGUUGGUGGAGUGAUUUGUCUGCUUAAUUGCGAUAACGAACGAGACCUUAACCUGCUAAAUAGCUGUAACAAUAGAUUAUUGUUUUGACAGCUUCUUAGAGGGACUAUCGAUUUUCAAGUCGAUGGAAGUUUGAGGCA
rnacentral:rRNA from 1 species